UACGUAGGGUGCGAGCGUUAAUCGGAAUUACUGGGCGUAAAGCGUGCGCAGGCGGCUCGUUGUGUCUGAUGUGAAAGCCCCGGGCUUAACCUGGGAAUGGCAUUGGAAACUGGCGAGCUGGAGUGUGGCAGAGGGGGGUGGAAUUCCGCGUGUAGCAGUGAAAUGCGUAGAGAUGCGGAGGAACACCGAUGGCGAAGGCAGCCCCCUGGGCUGACACUGACGCUCAGGCACGAAAGCGUGGGGAGCAAACAGG
rnacentral:rRNA from 1 species